UUCCGGUUGAUCCCGCCGGAGGUUACUGCUAUCGAGGUUCGACUAAGCCAUGCGAGUCGAAUGUAGCAAUACAUGGCGAACUGCUCAGUAACACGUGGACAACCUGCCCUUAGGUUGGGUAUAAACCCGGGAAACUGGGUAUAAUACCCGAUAGGUCUCGAUUGCUGGAAUGCAUCGAGAUUUAAAGCUCCGGCGCCUAAGGAUGGGUCUGCGGCCUAUCAGGUAGUAGUGGGUGUAGCGUACCUACUAGCCUACGACGGGUACGGGUUGUGAGAGCAAGAGCCCGGAGAUGGAUUCUGAGACACGAAUCCAGGCCCUACGGGGUGCAGCAGGCGCGAAAACUUUACAAUGCUGGCAACAGCGAUAAGGGAACCUCGAGUGCCAGGUUACAAAUCUGGCUGUCGAGAUGCCUAAAAAGCAUUUCAUAGCAAGGGUCGGGCAAGACCGGUGCCAGCCGCCGCGGUAACACCGGCGGCUCGAGUGGUAACCGUUAUUAUUGGGUCUAAAGGGUCUGUAGCCGGCCGGAUAAGUCUCUUGAGAAAUCUGGCAGCUUAACUGUCAGGCUUUCAGGAGAUACUGUCUGGCUCGAGGCCGGGAGAGGUGAGAGGUACUUCAGGGGUAGGGGUGAAAUCUUGUAAUCCUUGAAGGACCACCAGUGGCGAAGGCGUCUCACCAGAACGGACCUGACGGCAAGGGACGAAAGCUAGGGGCACGAACCGGAUUAGAUACCCGGGUAGUCCUAGCCGUAAACGAUACUCGCUAGGUGUCGGCCACGGUGCGACCGUUGUCGGUGCUGUAGGGAAGCCGUGAAGCGAGCCACCUGGGAAGUACGGCCGCAAGGCUGAAACUUAAAGGAAUUGGCGGGGGAGCACCACAACGGGUGGAGCUUGCGGUUUAAUUGGAUUCAACGCCGGG
rnacentral:rRNA from 1 species